GAUGAACGCUGGCGGCGUGCCUAAUACAUGCAAGUCGAGCGAACAGACGAGGAGCUUGCUCCUCUGACGUUAGCGGCGGACGGGUGAGUAACACGUGGAUAACCUACCUAUAAGACUGGGAUAACUUCGGGAAACCGGAGCUAAUACCGGAUAAUAUAUUGAACCGCAUGGUUCAAUAGUGAAAGACGGUUUUGCUGUCACUUAUAGAUGGAUCCGCGCCGCAUUAGCUAGUUGGUAAGGUAAGGGCUUACCAAGGCAACGAUGCGUAGCCGACCUGAGGGGGUGUGCGGCCCCUUUGCACCUGACACCCGGCCCAGACCCCUACGGGGGGCCGCAGUUGGGAAUCUUCCGCAGUGGGCGACAGCCUGACGGAGCAACGCCGCGUGAGUGAUGCAGGUCUGCGGCUCGUAGAACGCUGUUAUUAGGGAAGAACAAGUGUGUAAGUAACGAUGAGCGUCUUGCCGGUACCUAAUCAGAAAGCCACGGCUAACUACGU
rnacentral:rRNA from 1 species